UUUUCCUUUUGCCCUUAGCCUCCGUCGUUUCCUCUCUUCUCUUUUGCGAUUUCGAAGCCGCCCUCACGCGACUUCGAAGCCGGCGGCCCUACUUCAGACUCUUCCGUCUUCCCCUCCCCACCGUGUGCCGACGCAGAAGACGCCGACCACAUUCCCAUCGUCACCAACCGCACGAGCCCUCUGCUACCUCCCUCGGCCGACAUGGGGUCUUCGCCCAACCCCUUCUCUAUUCAUCAUCGUCUUGGUGACCUAAGCAGGGCACUGCCCCGGCCGCCGCCAAAGACUUGAGAUCCUUGGCAGUCUUCUGACAGAGACCCGACCCUUGCCCUCAACGCAGUCGAUGUCCGCACGCCCUGCCCUCAACGUAGCCGAAUUGGGUCACUUAUUAAUAACGGAUUGGAUCUUCCUGGUCCCUUUGAUUCCUCUACGAGAGUUGGUUAAGGAUUUGAGUUCGAAGCAAACCCUCUGACUAGAUGGUUUGGACACUCUACAUUUUCUACAUUUGAGAUGGUAUCAAUUUGAAAUAUGAGAAUAAUCUUUAAGCUCAAUCAGAAUUCAAGAUUUAGCAGCAUUUUGAAGAAGAUGGUGUUUCAACAUUGCUCUAAAAGGAAAGUGAAAGUGAGGAUGAUGAUCUUGACAUGGGUGAUGAUGAUGAUGUUGAGGAACCUAAAAAUGAACCAGAGGCUGUUAGGAAAGAACCAACCAUUGAGAAACCUCCUCCUGUUUCAGCACCACCCAAAGAUGCUGAAAGCAACUGUCAAAGAAGGAGCUUAAGAAAAAGAAAUGGCAGAGCUGGAUGCACUUCUAUAUGAAAUGGGCAUUGCAAAUUUUAAUUAGUUUAUUUUUGAUAGAUAGUAAAUUUUAAUUCACUUGAGUUGCUUCAUACAUAUGAAGUGACUGUUUAAUGUGUGUUGAAUUUGUUUAUCCUUGUUAUGCAGACAAGAAGCAAUUGGAGCAAAGUAGUGAAGGGGAGAAGAAAGAAAGUGUCGGUGCUCCUUCAGAGAACAGAAUCUUAAAGAAGAAGAAAUUCAAGAAAGAAAAAUCAUCAAAGGAACAGGAGGAGCAUGAUCAAAA